AACCUUAUGGACCUGCGGGCGUAUACCUGCGGAAGGAUCAUUACUGAGUCACGUGCUCAAACAACCCUUCUGUGGACCUGAAAUAAAACCGUUGCCUCGGCGGGCGGUCCCCCCCAGGCCAACCCCACGUGGUGGGUUAGGGGAGACCAGACAGUCCGGUACGCUUAAAGGCGUCCGGCGCCAGCCGCUGGCCCCAAACAAUUAAACUCUAGUAACCUUUACCUUCUGAGUUUCAAUAUU
rnacentral:misc_RNA from 1 species